GUUGUGAAAUAAUCAAUUGCAGAGCCUUGAAAAAGACUCCAAGUACAAUUUUUGCGAACCCUGUUCAAUUUGGAUAGGGUU
rnacentral:snRNA from 1 species